rnacentral:tRNA from 1 species
UGGCUCAGUGGUUAAGAGCACUGGUGGCUUCUCUUCCAGAGGACCUGGGUUCAAUUCCCAG